GUCCCUGUGGCGCAGCGGAAGCGCGCGGCCCUCCGAAGGCCGAGGCCGCCGGUUCGAAUCCGUCCAGGGACGCCA
rnacentral:tRNA from 1 species